rnacentral:rRNA from 1 species
UACAGAGGGGGCAAGCGUUGUUCGGAAUUACUGGGCGUAAAGGGCGCGUAGGCGGCCUUCUAAGUCGAACGUGAAAUCCCCGGGCUCAACCCGGGAACUGCGUCCGAUACUGGAAGGCUUGAAUCCGGGAGAGGGAUGUGGAAUUCCAGGUGUAGCGGUGAAAUGCGUAGAUAUUGGGAAGAACACCGGUGGCGAAGGCGGCGACCUGGUCCGUGACUGACGCUGAGGCGCGAAAGCGUGGGGAGCAAACAGG